AUUCAUCUCCGGGGGUAGAGCACUGUUUCGGCAAGGGGGUCAUCCCGACUUACCAACCCGAUGCAAACUGCGAAUACCGGAGAAUGUUAUCACGGGAGACACACGGCGGGUGCUAACGUCCGUCGUGAAGAGGGAAACAACCCAGACCGCCAGCUAAGGUCCCAAAGUCAUGGUUAAGUGGGAAACGAUGUGGGAAGGCCCAGACAGCCAGGAUGUUGGCUUAGAAGCAGCCAUCAUUUAAAGAAAGCGUAAUAGCUCACUGGUCGAGUCGGCCUGCGCGGAAGAUGUAACGGGGCUAAACCAUGCACCGAAGCUGCGGCAGCGACGCUGAUGCGUUGUUGGGUAGGGGAGCGUUCUGUAAGCCUGCGAAGGUGUGCUGUGAGGCAUGCUGGAGGUAUCAGAAGUGCGAAUGCUGACAUAAGUAACGAUAAAGCGGGUGAAAAGCCCGCUCGCCGGAAGACCAAGGGUUCCUGUCCAACGUUAAUCGGGGCAGGGUGAGUCGACCCCUAAGGCGAGGCCGAAAGGCGUAGUCGAUGGGAAACAGGUUAAUAUUCCUGUACUUGGUGUUACUGCGAAGGGGGGACGGAGAAGGCUAUGUUGGCCGGGCGACGGUUGUCCCGGUUUAAGCGUGUAGGCUGGUUUUCCAGGCAAAUCCGGAAAAUCAAGGCUGAGGCGUGAUGACGAGGCACUA
rnacentral:rRNA from 1 species